rnacentral:lncRNA from 1 species
GCAGCUGGGGUGAACAACAGAGGGGGCUCCUUUCAUUACCAUUUAACAUACGCAUACAUGUUUUUCAGAGUGAGUGCCAGGAUUUGCUUAGCCGUCCUCUGCCAUGUGUCAGAGCAGAGUUAAUGCACUCAGCCUGACCUCCUUCAGAGAACUGCCUGCUGUCUUCUUGUCUAAACUGAAGCCACUUCUUAUGGACUCAUGGAAUCAUUCUCCCCUACCCUUUACUGGCAUCCUUGGCUCAUCACUCCUGUCUCAUAUCUCCCCACUCAUCACCAUUUUAAAGAGUCUGCAUUGAGUGUCACAACAUCUGCUGCUUGAGAAAUUAGACCCUUGCUCCAAAUCUUCUACACCAUUAAAAAAAGAAAGAAAGAAAAAAUAAGAAACCUUUUCCCUUGUCCUUUCCCUGACAUCGCCUUGCAGCCGGAAAGUCUCCCAGAAGAGAACGGGAGAGGAGCAAUCAAUAGCGUCUCUAAACAGAAGAUGCCAUUGGCAAAGAGGUAGCACUCAACCACUGCGGUGAACCGCAGGCUUCUGAUUAAGACACCCGUGCCAGCCUGAUUGAGCUGCCUGUCCGCACCGCAUGCAAACCAGCCACUUAACCCUCCCUCCCUCUGCUGCCUUAUUCCCCUCACAGAAAAUAGAGCACUCAAAGAGAAAAGUGGUGCUUGGGUCUGCAGAGAGUUUAAAAGUAAUUACUGACAGCUGAGUGUUCUCUCUGAAUUCAGAUUCUGCAAUCAAUUAGGAGAGAUUUCAUAGAAAUGAUGAUCGGAAAUGAAAACUCCACAUUAGGUAACAUUAUCCAGACUCCUUGUAGCCCUCCCCAUUAAAGAAAGCUAGCUCCUAGUGGUCUGUUCAACUUCACUCAGUCCAGCUUCCGACAAUUCAGGUGCAUUCCCCACACUGAGGACCUUUAUGUCACAGUCAAAAUUGCUUCACAGCAAUUAACAUACAGCCAAAUUUUGGAACAUGAAGUUGGAGAAUAGGUCUGAUGAAUUUACUUAGGGUCUUCCCAAGGUAAGAAAUGUUCAGGCUAAUUCCAGUUUUUGAGGCUUCAGGUUUAUAUUAAAUACAUACAUCAAUAUAUAGUAUGUAGUAGGUAUAUGUACGUACAUAAAUAUCAAAACAAAAUUUCAAAAGUUGUGGCAAGUUGUAAAAAGCUUGUAAUAUGUGAAUAGGCUACUGUGAUGGUUGAAUUUAGGUGUCUGCAAAGAGGGAUACCUAGAUAAGGAAUUUUUGCCUGGAUAAAGGGAUGCCUAUAUGACUGGUGAAACUGUUUCUGGGUGUGUCCCCGAGAGUAUUUUCUAGAGAUGAUCGGCCUGUCAGUUGGUGAACUGAGUGGGGAAAAUCCACCCUCAAUGUUGGUGGCCUCCAUACAAAUGGCUGGAAGGUUGGGUGGAACAAAAAGCUGAAAGAGUGGCUCACGCCUGUAGUCCCAGCACUUUAGGAGGCUGAGGUGGUAGCAUCGCUUGAGCCGGGAGUUUGAGACCAGCCUGGGAAACAUAGCAAGACUCUGUCUUUACAAAAAAACAAGAAUUAAAACUAGCCAGGAGUGGUGGCACAUGACUGUAGUCCUAACUAUUUGGGAGGCUGAGGUGGAAGGAUUGCUUGUGCCCAGGAGUUCAAGGCUGCAGUGAUCCAUUAGUGUAGCCAUUGCACUUCAGCAUGGAAAACAGAGUAAGGGAAAA